UACGGAGGGUGCGAGCGUUGUCCGGAAUCACUGGGCGUAAAGGGCGCGUAGGCGGCCUGAUAAGUAGGGGGUGAAAUCCUGCGGCUUAACCGCAGGGCUGCCUUCUAGACGUGUCAGGCUAGAGCACAGUAGAGGCAGGUGGAAUUCCCGGUGUAGCGGUGGAAUGCGUAGAGAUCGGGAAGAACAUCAGUGGCGAAGGCGGCCUGCUGGGCUGUUGCUGACGCUGAGGCGCGAGCAGCGUGGGGGAGCAAACAGG
rnacentral:rRNA from 1 species